rnacentral:lncRNA from 1 species
GCUGCUGGCAGACGGCGUGAAGGUGAACAGACAUGGGGUUUUAUGAUAUGCAAAAUCACUCAUGAACAACUAAACUGGAAACCAGGGAGGAGAGCAUAAUGAGCUUCCCUUCUUAGCUUAGAUUUCUAGGAGAAUCCUCAGGCAUAACAACAGGAACACAGCCAGUGCAGCUGCCCCACGUGGAUGAUCAGAGGCGACGUCUUACUCUCCACAAAGCCAAGUUUGGUCAAGCUCCUCACAGCUGUUUCCCACAGAGAGGAAAUCCCCUAAGUUCCCAGGCAGUGUAAACUGACCGUGUGUUUAUAAAAUAGACGCCAUGCCCCAAGAACAUGAAAACAGUCCAGAUGCAUGAACCUGCAAUGCAGCAGUGAUUCAAGACACUUGGGAGUAGGGAGGAGAGCGUGAGUGAGAGAACGCUUCAAUGCCGAAGCAGAGUGGCUGUUCUCUGGAGAACACCCAAACUGAUCUAAAGCCAAAGUUCAAAAAAUAACAAACAUGCAAGCCUUUUGAAAACAAAUUGUGCCUAGAUAUCUUUGCAAGCUGAGUGGUCAGCCCUCAGACAGUGCUAUGAGGGAGUGAUUGCAGACCACCCAGCACCCAAGGAAUUAGGGGCAGUUCAUGCUGUCCCUGUGUCCAAGGGCUCCGAGAGCUCAGAUUAAAAUUCUUUCUGCCCAGCUUUUGCAAGAUGGAACCAAAAGAGCCCACUUGUGAGAAGGCAGGGGAUUGAGGAGGGUCCCCUCCUCCCAGUACGGACUGUGUGGUGCCUUCAGAUGAGCUGUUUUGUUUCACGCUGAGCUGAGCUCACCUAGGCGAUGACCUUGUGACAAGAAUACCAGGCUGAGUCCAGAUCAGCAAAGAGGGGACAGGAAGAGGAAGAGGAAGAGAGAAGCAAGUGCAGCCAUGCGAAGCUGUGACUGACAGAAGCCAAGUCAGAACUGCUGGUUAACAUAAUUUUUAAUCCUUCAUCAGGGCUGGUAAAAUGUUGACAAAGGAGAGUCCUUGUAGUGAAUCUCUCAGUCUAUUAAGAAAGCUGUUUCAGACCCAGGGACAUAAGGCAGGUGUAUUGGAGUCAUCAGACUCUCUACAAAAUAUUAGUCAUCAGCUCUGCAAAAACCCCGUGGGCUGCACUGGGGCGUGAGUCCCUCAAAGUUUAACUAAACAUGGCAAACUGGAUGUACACAGACAACCUUAAUAGCUUCUGGGGAUUCUGGAAAGAGCUGGGGACCGGCUCCCUUAAAAAUCUACUCUAAGAAAAUUCACCGCAGGCCCAGCGUGGCUCCUGACCUGGAGGAUAACAAUGAUAAUGGAAGUGCUGUUAAAAGUAAGAAUGACUAUGAGUUAUUGAGUUUUUCAUCUGCUCAGGCACCGUGCUGGGCCUACACAGUAUCUCAUUCAGUCCUACUAAGGACCAUUACUGUCCCUUUCCUACCUAGGGGAAAAGGAGAUUGAGAGAAGUCAAACCGCUUUCUCACGGUGACAGGGUAGGCGGUGGAGCCAGAAUACAAAUGCAGGGGCUCCAGCCUCAAAGCCCGUGCUCUCUGCUCACAUUGGCCCACCCAGGACAGACGCUGUCGGGAUGUCCUGGGGGUUUCACACUGUUAAGAAAUAAUAACGAGUGAGAGCCAAGGUGUACUCUGGAUCUACCUGAAGCACCCAACUCACUCCCUUCCAUGAUGUGACUAACGGCGUUUCAGAUCUGUUUGUGCUCCGACCUGACCUCAGGAAGCCAAAGUCCCCUGAGGUCUGGGGUGUGUAUGCUUGGGGACCCGAAAUUAGAGGCACACCUACCUAGGAUUGAAUGUAACGAUCUAAUCAAGAAAAGACAAGGUCUCACUCUGUUGCCCAGGCUGGAGUGCAGUGGUGUGAUCUUGGCUCCCUGCAGCCUCGACCUCCUAGGCUCGAGUGAUCCUCCUGCCUCAGCCUCCCGAGUACCUGGGACUAUAGAGCAGUCUUCUUCCCUCUCCCCAGCCUCCCCAAAGACCUGCAAAUUUUGUUUUCUGUUAAGUGCUCAUCUCCCCCGACCCCCCUACAGCUGGGGAAGGUGUUGGUAUCUCCAGCGACUUCAGGCUUCAAGUUUCCUUCUAGGAGGGAAGCUGCUUUCGCUGCUGCUUUCAAGUGACCCGGAUCUCAUUAAACAUACUGAUGUGGGGUGUGCUUCUGAGAAGGUGCCUGAGAAAUGAACUUGGCUUGCUUGUUGCCUUUGAGGGUCUGUGGGAGAGAAUCAUAAGCCUGUCCAGAUCUUAUCUUCUCAGGAAGGGGCAGGAAAACAACACAGCAAAACAGCUGCCCGGACGAGAACACCAUCUAGUGUCUUCACACAACACACCCACAUUUGGUGGUUUCUGUUUCCCAUGAAGAUGAAAGAGGAGGGGAGAGGCGUGUCAGGGAUUCCCUGAGCCCUGAUAGGAGGGUUCAACUGGGCGAGGAAGGGACCAUCAGGCCAACCCAUGUAGGUGGACCCACUCAGCUCUCAGGACUCAUCUCCUCCACCUGGACCGCUCUCCCUGGUGGGGCAUUGAGGGACUGAGGGCUCUGGUUUUGUUCUCUAGAAGAGGUGAUCCAUCAUUAAAAAUCUAUUAAACAUGCAAAAAAAAAAAAAAAA